GGUGACAGCAUACUAUAGUAAAAAUUAUGUGCACACAGUCCUUGUCCGAAUACAUUACCCAGAGAGUACAAGGCAUCUUGCUAUUCACACAUUGGCUAAAGCCCCUAUGCUCUGUGUGGCUACCACAUGGUACCAGGAUUACUUUACCCACCCACCCAUCCAUCCAUCCAUCUAUCCAUCCACUCAUCCAUCCAUGUUUUGUGCUCUAGGGCUUCAUUGUAUGCUUAUGAAUGCAAUUUCUAGUGAGCCUCUUCUUCCACAAUACUGCAGCUUAUUACAAUUUAAGACUUGAUUUGGAUUGCAUCAUUCUUUUUAGUCAACAUCUUCAGCUGGAAAUUCAGCAAUGGUUUAUCAACCAAUUCAGCACCUCUAGUUACGUAUGUUUCUUUGCUCAAGCUUAUUCGAGAAUGUGUAUAGCCAUGCCUUACCUACAGUAAAGAGCUUGAGAUGCUUUGUUUCAGGGGACCAUUAGUAGACAUUUUUAUACAGACACAAUGCUUGCUGGCCCAGCUUGUCACUAGUAGGGUCAUGAUUUCUGAUCUUUCACCCAGAAAUGUAAUUUUGUUUUUCAGUCUCAGCUAAGAGUUUAUAGCAGCAGGAACAGUUUCAGAUGCAACGUCAAUGUCCUUUGCAGGCCCCUGUGAACUCUGGAUGAAAAAGAAGAAGAAAUCCAAAUCCACAGCAGCACAUUGUUGGCAUGUUAUUCUGGGCUUCAUUUUCAGCUUUAAAAGCUUUUCCUCAGUGCUGCCUGCCAGAAUGAGACACAUGCAAACAGGACUGAAACCCACACCUGGGAGUCGCACAUGCAUGACCACUGAAAAGUUCAGACUCUGCGUCGAACAAAGCAUACCCUUGGCUCAUUGAAGUUGCGCCAGGAAAAGGGCACGGUUUAGCUGGCAGUGUAGUCACAGCCAGAAAAUGUUUAAAAGACACUAAGAAUUCAGACAGACACAUUCCUUACAUUCUUAAGUUCAACUUCUCUUAACAGAUAAAUAAAGAUGAGACUGCAUUUGAUUGGUCCUCCA
rnacentral:lncRNA from 1 species